rnacentral:rRNA from 1 species
AUUGAACGCUGGCGGCAUGCCUUUCACAUGCAAGUCGAACGGCAGCACGGGUGCUUGCACCUGGUGGCGAGUGGCGAACGGGUGAGUAAUACAUCGGAACGUACCUUAUCGUGGGGGAUAACGCAGCGAAAGCUGUGCUAAUACCGCAUACGCCCUGAGGGGGAAAGCGGGGGAUCGAAAGACCUCGCGCGAUUAGAGCGGCCGAUGCCUGAUUAGCUUGUUGGUGGGGUAAAAGCCCACCAAGGCGACGAUCAGUAGCUGGUCUGAGAGGACGAUCAGCCACACUGGGACUGAGACACGGCCCAGACUCCUACGGGAGGCAGCAGUGGGGAAUUUUGGACAAUGGGGGCAACCCUGAUCCAGCAGCGCCGCGUGAGUGAAGAAGGCCUUCGGGUUGUAAAGCUCUUUUGUCAGGGAAGAAACACCGGCUCUAACACAGUCCGGGAAUGACGGUACCUGAAGAAUAAGCACCGGCUAACUACGUGCCAGCAGCCGCCGCCG